rnacentral:lncRNA from 1 species
GUUUGUUUCUUCAUAGAGUGUCUAUAGGUCUCUUAAGGUGUUGCUAUCUAAGGUGAACACCUCAAAGCUGAAAAUGUUCCAUUGACGUCACGUUGGUGUGAAACCUGUUUACCUCGAUGCUAGACCCUCCUCUUCCUGUCACAACAUGGGUUUCAGAGAAAAGGACCACGAGCUGAAAACUUUCCAUUCGAUCGAACCAAUCGCUGCUCGUAUGUCCUUUCAUGGUAAAGUACAUCUAGUCGUUAACACGGAAAUAAGCAGCAAAGACCUUUAUACUCAAAGACCCAGCUACUCUCUGACAGUCACCAUCAGACCAUCAGACCACCAGAUGGACGGGCUGUGUGUCUCUCUGAUUGGAUCCUUAUGUGUUGUUUCCUCCAGUCAGGAUGGGAUCUCUGCAGCAGAGGUGGAGCUGAGAGUCAGACCAGGAGACAAUGUCACUCUCUACUGUGACUGUAUCAUAACUACUGGAGUAUACAUUAUGUGGUAUAGGAACUGUUCUCACAAGUACCAGCCUCCUCUAGUUAUUUCAACUAAGUUUUUAAGUUCCAUCUCUCUCCCUGGAUAUCAUGUGGUGUGGAACCCCUCUAACAACUCCUAUGAUCUACUGAUUGAGAACAUCACUGAAUCUGAUCUGGGACUCUACUACUGUGGGACUGUGGAGACGAACCUGGUUGGAG